CUGAAGUACAAAAGAAAGUACAUAUCUGGUGUUUUGGGAUCAUUUGAAAAGCGUUGUGAUGUUGACUGGCAACUGCGCAAUUGGGCACGAUAUCUGGGGUGUUUGGGCAACAUAUUAGGAAAGUCUGUGACUUAUAUAUCACUGUAAAAA